GAAAUGCGAUAAGUAGUGUGAAUUGCAGAAUUUAGCGAAUCAUCGAAUCUUUGAACGCACAUUGCGCCCCUUGGUAUUCCUUGGAGCAUGCCUGUUUGAGUAUCAUGAAAUCUUCAAAGUAAAUCUUUUGUUAACUCAAUUGGUUUCUACUUUGGUAUUGGAGGUCUUUGCAGCUUCACACCUGCUCCUCUUUGUUCAUUAGCUGGAUCUCAGUGUUAUGCUUGGUUCCACUCGGCGUGAUAAGUUAUCUAUCGCUGAGGACACUGUAAAAGGUGGCCAAGGUAAAUGCAGAUGAACCGCUUCUAAUAGUCCAUUGACUUGGACAAUACUUUUAUGAUCUGAUCUCAAAUCAGGUAGGACUACCCGCUGAACUUAAGC
rnacentral:misc_RNA from 1 species